rnacentral:rRNA from 1 species
AACGCUAGCUACAGGCUUAACACAUGCAAGUCGAGGGGCAGCAUAGAAGUAGCAAUACUUUGGUGGCGACCGGCGCACGGGUGAGUAACGCGUAUGCAACCUACCUAUCAGAGGGGGAUAACCCGGCGAAAGUCGGACUAAUACCGCAUAAAACAGGGGCACCGCAUGGUGAUAUUUGUUAAAAAUUUAUUGCUGAUAGAUGGGCAUGCGUUCCAUUAGGUAGUUGGAGAGGUAACGGCUCACCAAGCCCACGAUGGAUAGGGGAACUGAGAGGUUGGUCCCCCACACUGGUACUGAGACACGGACCAGACUCCUACGGGAGGCAGCAGUGAGGAAUAUUGGUCAAUGGGCGAGAGCCUGAACCAGCCAAGUAGCGUGCAGGAUGACGGCCCUAUGGGUUGUAAACUGCUUUUAUAAGGGAAUAAAGUGAGCCUCGUGAGGCUUUUUGCAUGUACCUUAUGAAUAAGGACCGGCUAAUUCCGUGCCAGCAACCGCGGUAAUACGGAAGGUCCGGGUGUUAUCCGGAUUUAUUGGGUUUAAAGGGAGCGUAGGCCGGAGAUUAAGCGUGUUGUGAAAUGUAGAUGCUCAACAUCUGCACUGCAGCGCGAACUGGUUUCCUUGAGUACGCACAAAGUGGGCGGAAUUCGUGGUGUAGCGGUGAAAUGCUUAGAUAUCACGAAGAACUCCGAUUG